GGUCUUGUGGUGUAACGGUUAGCACCCAGGACUCUGAAUCCUGUGAUCCGAGUUCGAAUCUCGGCAAGACCU
rnacentral:tRNA from 1 species